rnacentral:rRNA from 1 species
AAAUGAAUAGACGGGGACCCGCACAAGCAGCGGAGCAUGUGGUUUAAUUCGAAGCAACGCGAAGAACCUUACCAGGACUUGACAUCCUCUUGAAAGCUUGGGUAAUUCCAGGCCUUCUUCGGACAAGAGAGACAGGUGGUGCAUGGUUGUCGUCAGCUCGUGUCGUGAGAUGUUGGGUUAAGUCCCGCAACGAGCGCAACCCUUGUCGCUAGUUGCCAUCAAGUUAAGUUGGGCACUUUAGCGAGACCGCCGGGGACAACUCGGAGGAAGGUGGGGAUGACGUCAAAUCAUCAUGCCCCUUAUGUUCUGGGCUACACACGUGCUACAAUGGCCGUUACAGAGAGGCGCAAAGCUGUGAAGCCGAGCCAAACUCUAAAAGCGGUCCCAGUUCGGAUUGCAGGCUGCAACUCGCCUGCAUGAAGCAGGAGUUGCUAGUAAUCGCGGAUCAUCACGCCGCGGUGAAUGCGUUCCCGGGUCUUGUACACACCGCCCGU